GACGAACGCUGGCGGCGUGCUUAACACAUGCAAGUCGAACGGAAAGGCCCUGCUUUUGUGGGGUGCUCGAGUGGCGAACGGGUGAGUAACACGUGAGUAACCUGCCCUUGACUUUGGGAUAACUUCAGGAAACUGGGGCUAUUACCGGAUAGGAGCUCCUGCUGCAUGGUGGGGGUUGGAAAGUUUCGGCGGUUGGGGAUGGACUCGCGGCUUAUCAGCUUGUUGGUGAGGUAGUGGCUUACCAAGGUUUUGACGGGUAGCCGGCCUGAGAGGGUGACCGGCCACAUUGGGACUGAGGUACGGCCCAGACUGCUACGGGAGGCAGCAGUGGGGAAUAUGGCAGAAUGGGCGGAAGCCUGAUGCAGCAACGCCGCGUGCGGGAUGACGGCCUUCGGGUUGUAAACCGCUUUCGCCUGUGACGAAGCGUGAGUGACGGUAAUGGGUAAAGAAGCACCGGCUAACUACGUG
rnacentral:rRNA from 1 species